CUAACCUUGAGUCAUUAUCAAAACCUGUUUAAACUGAGGAAUCAACAUGGACAGAUAUCUACUAGUGAUUGCCAUUACAGUUUCAGGUGCAUUUGCUGAUAGCAUUGGUCCAGUUGACAAGGACACUAAUAUGAUCAUUAGAGAAGGAGAGUCUGUGACACUGAGAUGCUCAUAUGAUGCUAGCAGCAAUAAUAUUUUGCUUUACUGGUACAGACAGUAUCCAAACAGAGAACCAGAAUAUUUACUGUAUAAAGGUGCUCGAGCAUACAGCUCUGAUACAUUUUCUGAUAUACCAGACAAUCGGUUUCAGUCGAAAACAUCCCAGUCAUCCACUGAACUCAUUAUUAAAGCAGCAGCUCUGUCAGAUUCAGCUCUCUAUUAUUGUGCUCUAAGAGUAUUAGCCCAGUGA